GAUGAACGCUGGCGGCGUGCUUAACACAUGCAAGUCGAACGGGAUCCAUCAGGCUUUGCUUGGUGGUGAGAGUGGCGAACGGGUGAGUAAUGCGUGACCGACCUGCCCCAUACACCGGAAUAGCUCCUGGAAACGGGUGGUAAUGCCGGGUGCUCCAGUUGAUCGCAUGGUCUUCUGGGAAAGCUUUCGCGGUAUGGGAUGGGGUCGCGUCCUAUCAGCUUGACGGCGGGGUAACGGCCCACCGUGGCUUCGACGGGUAGCCGGCCUGAGAGGGCGACCGGCCACAUUGGGACUGAGAUACGGCCCAGACUCCUACGGGAGGCAGCAGUGGGGAAUAUUGCACAAUGGGCGCAAGCCUGAUGCAGCGACGCCGCGUGAGGGAUGGAGGCCUUCGGGUUGUAAACCUCUUUUAUCGGGGAGCAAGCGAGAGUGAGU
rnacentral:rRNA from 1 species